UAACGAAGCACUGAUGAAUCACAUCUGGGUUUUGAUGACGGAUUUGACGCAGGCGGUAGAGGAGUUGCUGUCUUUUUCUAGUCAAGCACUCGUUGAUGUAGAUUCCCUGUCGUUGAGUGAUGUAACACUCAAUCACCAAUGUUGUGCUUUCACAACCCACUCUACCUUCUUCAAUAUAAAUAAAUAAAUAUAAAUAAAUACAUACCGGUAAAUAAUAACUAAAUAAAACCCAACAUUAGACAUAAGUGUGGGCAAAGAUCAGUAACCAAAGAAAAUGGAAGAAGGAAGGUGGCGGGGAAGCGAGCGAGUGACGUCAUCACAACAAAGGUUCCACUAUUGGACGUGUACACGACCCGUGAGAUAACACUGACGCUCCUCGCCUAUCUUAAAGACGGUCUCCUGUGUCCAAAAUACCCGCCAAAUUGUCCCUCCCACAAUACUCACAAGACAGUUGUGGCAGUGUAAGUGUGUGGUGAGGGCACACCACUGAAGACAUUGAGGAUAUACCACGAGGAAGAGACAAAACUGUUGAAGAAAGGAGUCACUGGCUCCACCUGACCACCUUGGGCCACAUUCACCAAGGUAAUACGGCUUCCAGUCUCUGCUCGGCUACCAAGGACGAUAGCAAACACAACUUCUGCCCAUUAAUGAUGG